rnacentral:rRNA from 1 species
UACGAAGGGGGCUAGCGUUGCUCGGAAUGACUGGGCGUAAAGGGUGCGUAGGCGGGUCUUUAAGUCAGGGGGGAAAUCCUGGAGCUCAACUCCAGAACUGCCUUUGAUACUGAGGAUCUUGAGUUCGGGAGAGGUGAGUGGAACUGCGAGUGUAGAGGUGAAAUUCGUAGAUAUUCGCAAGAACACCAGUGGCGAAGGCGGCUCACUGGCCCGAUACUGACGCUGAGGCACGAAAGCGUGGGGAGCAAACAGG